CUAUGGGUGAGUAAAACAGACUACCUUGAUCAUCGAAUUUAAAAGUUCGUGCUUUACCAAGUAUCUUUGAAAACUUAAUAUAUACUUGGGUAAUGUUCGUGGUCUUUGUUUUUGAAAUAAGCGAAAAGGUGAAUGGAAGAAACCAUGGAUUAGAUUUCGUGAAUGGGAGAUGGAAAUAUCCUGCAAUAGUUCCAGUCCUCAAGCAAGAAGUUGUCUCAAUUUAUGAGGAAAACUUCACUGACAUUCCGAAGGACAGGGAGCCAUAUUAUGUUAAAGUUCAACGAUGUGUCAUCG